ACGUGCCAGCAGCCGCGGUAAUACGUAGGGUGCAAGCGUUAUCCGGAAUUAUUGGGCGUAAAGGGCUCGUAGGCGGUUCGUCGCGUCCGGUGUGAAAGUCCAUCGCUUAACGGUGGAUCUGCGCCGGGUACGGGCGGGCUGGAGUGCGGUAGGGGAGACUGGAAUUCCCGGUGUAACGGUGGAAUGUGUAGAUAUCGGGAAGAACACCAAUGGCGAAGGCAGGUCUCUGGGCCGUUACUGACGCUGAGGAGCGAAAGCGUGGGGAGCGAACAGGAUUAGAUACCCUGGUAGUCCACGCCGUAAACGGUGGAUGCUGGAUGUGGGGCCCGUUCCACGGGUUCCGUGUCGGAGCUAACGCGUUAAGCAUCCCGCCUGGGGAGUACGGCCGCAAGGCUAAAACUCAAAGAAAUUGACGGGGGCCCGCACAAGCGGCGGAGCAUGCGGAUUAAUUCGAUGCAACGCGAAGAACCUUACCUGGGCUUGACAUGUUCCCGACAGCCGUAGAGAUAUGGCCUCCCUUCGGGGCGGGUUCACAGGUGGUGCAUGGUCGUCGUCAGCUCGUGUCGUGAGAUGUUGGGUUAAGUCCCGCAACGAGCGCAACCCUCGCCCUGUGUUGCCAGCACGUCAUGGUGGGAACUCACGGGGGACCGCCGGGGUCAACUCGGAGGAAGGUGGGGAUGACGUCAGAUCAUCAUGCCCCUUACGUCCAGGGCUUCACGCAUGCUACAAUGGCCGGUACAACGGGAUGCGAC
rnacentral:rRNA from 1 species